ensembl:lncRNA
AGAAGAAGAAUAGGAAUUUAGGAAUGUGUUUUUUUAUAUAUAUAUAUAAGGGGGUUGAUAUCUGAAAAAACAGAUGACUCUCUCUUCUUUGUGGACACUGGUGAAGCAGAUGAAAAAGAUACUCAAGCACAGACGACAGUCAAGAAAGGUAAACACUCUAAACCUCUGCGGAUAGAUCUCAUCCUUCAGCCAGAUUCACACAUACCGGCCCCAAAAAAUGUCUUGGCAUUCCAGCAGCCCAAUGCUAAAAAGCAGCGGCGCAUAUCAGAGAAUGCAGCAAAGUUGGCGGCCAUGGGAGUGUUGCCACGAAGAGAAAAGCUUCUUCAACUCCGAAGGGCUGCAGCCGCCUCUGGGGUGUCAGUUAAAGAACAUCCAGUGGCCAAUAAUAAUCCAGAUAGAGCAUUUUAUGACCUGUGGAGUGCAGGCAGUGAGUAGAGUUAGUCUUUACACUUUCUCUUGUGAUGUGAUGUACGCAAGUGGCACAAUAUGACUUGUCUUCUCAAUGUCCAACAGCACCAGAGACGGCUGAUCCCUACUAUCUUGAACAGACUAAGAAAAAGCUUGUCAAGGUGAGAACAGUGUGUUCUUUUCUGUUGUGAUAAUUCAUAGCCAUUUUGACAAUGGUGU